GCAUAUCAAUAAGCGGAGGAAAAGAAACUAACAAGGAUUCCCUUAGUAACGGCGAGUGAAGAGGGAAGAGCUCAAAUUUUAAAUCUAUCAUGUUUGUACAUGAUCGAAUUGUAAUUUGAAGAAGCGUUUUCUCGUACUUUAUGCAAUCAGUAUAAGUUCUCUUGGAACAGGACAUCAUAGAGGGUGAUAAUCCCGUCUGUUACUGGUUGUGAGGUUCGUUAUGAUACGCUUUCAAAGAGUCGAGUUGUUUGGGAUUGCAGCUCCAAAUGGGUGGUAAACAUCACCUAAGGCUAAAUAUUUGCGAGAGACCGAUAGCGAACAAGUACCGUGAGGGAAAGAUGAAAAGAACUUUGAAAAGAGAGUUAAAAAGUAUGUGAAAUUGUUGAAAGGGAAACGAUUGAAGUCAGUCGUGCAGUCAUCAAUUCAGCGGUUAACAUUUUUAUGUUUCCGUGUAAUUUGGUGUCUGUUGGUUAGCAUCAAUUUUGAUUGUUAUAAAAAGGUUAAGGGGAUGUGGCUCCUUCGGGAGUGUUAUAACCCUUAGCGUAAUGUGACGAUUAGGAUUGAGGUUUGCAACGAAUACCUUUUAGGGCAGUUUCCCUGGCCACUCGUGGAAUUAUAGAUAGUUAAGAGCAUGCUUCUUACUGUCUAUGAUUCUACGAAAAGGUUAGUGUAAAACUAAUUCGUUAAGGAUGUUGACGUA
rnacentral:rRNA from 1 species